rnacentral:lncRNA from 1 species
UAUCCCUUAAAAGUUCUCACGCAUCGGGGGCGGAGAAGUAAUUGAUUUUGAAAAAUGUCUCAAUGCAAUAAAGCGGAGGACUUAUAGUUUGAGGUGAGUUUAGAUUGAUUUUAUCCCUUUUAUCCCUUGCAAAAAUAUUGUUUUAAUUUAUUUGAGAAAAUAAAUUAGGAGUCAUAGUUAUGUAUUAGAUGUAAUCCUUUAUCCCGAUUUUAUCCCCAAUUUAAC